CCGCAGUGAAGCCUGAACUCGAGUAGGGCCCAAGCAAGCCAGGAAGGAGGAGGCAGCCAGAGUGUUCUCUGCAGCAGAAGACCCCUUGCUGCCCUGCUUAACCCAGACCAGCAUUUGCCAGACUAAAGGCUCUCAGCCUCAGCAUUCUUUAUCUGGAAAAUGAGUACAGACAGACCUCGUUAUCCGUGGAUUCGCAUAGCCGUGGUCAGCCUCCCGUGCGUCGGUCCUGCUUGCCUCUGCAACUUCUUGCCUUUGAGAUUGCUGCACUCCCUCCUCCUCCACUGUCACAGCACCUAUUUCUUCCUCAUCCU